GAUGAACGCUGACAGAAUGCUUAACACAUGCAAGUCGAUGGGGAAGUGGUGCUUGCACCAUGGCAACCAUGGCGGACGGGUGAGUAACGCGUAAGGGACUUACCUGCAGGACUGGGAUAACAGGGGGAAACUCCUGACAAGACCGGAUAAUGUCAUGGAGCUGCAUGGCUUUAUGAUGAAAGGAGACGCCUGCGGAGAGCCUUGCGUCCUAUUAGCUAGUUGGUGAGGUAAUGGCUCACCAAGGCGAAGAUAGGUAGCCGGCCUGAGAGGGUGGACGGCCACAAGGGGACUGAGAUACGGCCCUUACUCCUACGGGAGGCAGCAGUGGGGAAUAUUGGACAAUGGGGGCAACCCUGAUCCAGCAAUUCUGUGUGCACGAAGAAGGUUUUCGGAUUGUAAUGUGCUUUCAGCAGGGAAGAAGUAAGUGACGGUACCUGCAGAAGAAGCGACGGCUAAAUACGUG
rnacentral:rRNA from 1 species